CCUAUGCUGUUAUUAGAACCAGAUGCUGAACUAUCAACAAUAUUUCAACCUGACUGCGUUGCCUGCCAGCUGCCUGACUAUAAUUACUUCAAUCUCAGCUUGUUAUCUAAUUAUCACCUUUGUAAAGGGAAAAGUACUCUCUAAUGCUGACUGAUUGUUUGCGAUGAUGAUGAAGAGCACGAAACAGCUGUCAGAGAUCUUGGGUCCUGCUUAUCUCUGAGACGGAACUUAUUAUGAGACCUUCCUGGGCCCAGACAUUUUCUGGAGAAGAGAUGGUGGUCAGGGGAUACGGGAUUCCUUCAUUUCCCUCUUAGCCUUUGGGGCCCCAUCUAAGAAGAGCUGAAUCAAGUGUCUAAAUGGCAGGCACAUCAUCUUUCCUACUCUGACAUUUGCUCCCUAUUCGGUGAGAGCACAAUAACAUUCGAUUAUGUUCAUGUUGUGACAGAGGCUGGCACUAAAGAAAAAGUGCCAGGCUGAAGAGUGUGUGAAACUGAUCACCUCAAUGGGGGAAGGGCCCCAGGAGAUUGGAAUCUUGAGGAGGAGAAGACUCAGGCUGGUAGAGGAGUUGGUUGUUCUCAGUCUUGAGAAGCUGAAGACACAAGGUGGGAAAAGACUUUCUUCUGAGGGUUACCCACUUUUCCUGAUGCUAACUGGAAAUCUUUCCCCCCAGAACUUCCCAAUUGAAGGAACUUUCUGAAGAGAAACAUGAGCAGGCUUUACCUCAGCUCCUGUUGCCCAGGGCACUUGGCAGAGAAUCUAGCACAAAUGAAGCCCGUAAUAAACUCCCUGAAUAAACUGAUUCGACUUAAGGAGACUAGGAGUCACCCAGCUGCCAAUUCGGUGCCCAUGCCUGUUUUCUGGGUCUUACACUCAGAGCCUCAUGAGUUCUCUCGGUCUGCUCUUCACGUGUCCUGUCUCAUGCAUUUUAUGGGGGAAAAGCUCUUGCCCUACUCUCCUGAGGACCUGGUCCCAGACCAGUAUUUCCAUUGGAGAUUUCUUGGCCUGCAGAAAUGAGCAAGAUUGAUUUCCAUGUGAUUUCCAUUCUAAGAGUGUUAUUUUUUAAUAAUUAUAAUAGCAGGAGAGGCAGCAUGGUGAAUAACGAGCUGGCCAUGGGCUCAGAAAGAUCUGAAUUCAAGUUCAGGUUCUUGGACACAUUUAUUGACUGUGAAAUCAUUUAAUCUUUUAUAAACCCACAGUUUUCCAAGACUAUAACUUGUGGUUUAGUUGCUCAUAAUGAUAACUAUAUAAUUUUAUUGUGUUGUGAUUUUGUAUAAUUUAUAGAGAACUUUAAGGUUUAGAUUGUAUUUUAUAUACAUAGCAGGCUUUUGGAGUCAGUUAAGUUUCUGGAUGAAAUCGUUGUUGGUUUUUGUCCUUCAUAAUUCAAAGAAGACUGAAUUAAUAUCAUUAGGGGAUGGAUUUGGGCUCAUACAUAAAUUGGAUUUAAGUGAGCCAGAGUUACACAAAAUCAUUAACCUCAUUCUUUCUUUUGAAGUCAUUGAAAUCCAAUGGCAAGACAAAGGUUAGGACAACUGGCAAUGGCUCAGGAUGGAGUGGAUGACCUUGGUGUCUUCAAUGUCUCUCCACAGUGCCUGCCUGAGCCACUUUCAUGAUCACUGAAACAGAUUAUUCUCAUCUGUCCCUUCUGCUGGGGGAAGUCUUCAUAUGCCUGGGUAGACCUGCCUCCCACCUCCCCAACUCACUGAUGGAUUUGAUACCUGUCAGUUGUCCUCAACUUGGUUUAGCCCGUCUGCCAAGACUCUUUUUACUGUAGUGUGGUCAUAUGCUACAGCUUCUGGGAGCCACAGAGGUGAGAGCCAGGUGGCAGGUAGACACCAAGGGUGGAUGAACAGCCCUGCAAAGGACUCAGAAUACCCUCACUAAUUUUCUAAUCUUUCUCAAGCAUCCCAUACACUCUAUGAAACAGCCCAAGACAGCUUUGUUUUCUUCUCAUUCUGGGAGAAAUGAAGAGAUUCAGGGAGCCAAGAUGAUGAAGUAGAAGCUGGGAAAGCUUGAACCACUAUGAGAAUCUUAUCCAAUCAACCUUAAAAUAAUACUUCAAAAUGAGUGUACUGAAAGAGGCAUCAAAGAGUCUUAGAGCAGAGGGGAGGAUGAGGGUGGUGUUAGGAAAAUGCUUAAACCUUACUCUCAUUGUAAUUGUCUCAGAGAGGGAAUAACAACAAUAUUCAUUCAGGUAUAGAAUCCUACAUUACCCUAUAGAGAAGUAGGAGGGGAAUAAUAAAAGGGGAGUGUUAAUAGAAGAUGGGGGAAAG
rnacentral:lncRNA from 1 species